rnacentral:rRNA from 1 species
CAGCCGCCGCGGUAAUACGAAGGGGGCUAGCGUUGCUCGGAAUUACCGGGCGUAAAGGGAGCGUAGGCGGAUCGUUUAGUCAGGGGUGAAAUCCCGGGGCUCAACCUCGGAACUGCCUUUGAUACUGGCGAUCUUGAGUAUGGGAGAGGUGUGUGGAACUCCGAGUGUAGAGGUGAAAUUCGUAGAUAUUCGGAAGAACACCAGUGGCGAAGGCGACACACUGGCCCAUUGCUGACGCUGAGGCUCGAAAGCGUGGGGAGCAAACAGGAUUAGAUACCCGUGUAGUCCCUGUCUCUUAUAC